rnacentral:lncRNA from 1 species
UGGAAACACUCCCUGAACAGAGUUCAGGAAUCUUUGGCAGCCCAGCUUGGUCCAGGGCUGCUGAUAUCCCAAAUUAACUGAAAUCAGUGUGAAAGCUUACAUCUGUGUGUGCUCAUCAUCCACGGACCAUGGCCCAUGGCUAACAGGUUUGCUGCAAAUCCAUGGUGGUCCUAGCUGCCCUUCCACAGGCCCAUGGUGUGCAGGCCAGCUCCUCCAGCCCCACCAGUGAGCAAAGUGACAUGUUACCUGCCUGGGUAUCUGUGGCGUAAGCAAUUGCUUCAUAGUGACUACAGAUAUUUAAUCCCACAAUUUAUCUGUAGUAUAUAUUCGUGAUGCGACUGCCUGGUUUAUGAAGGCUUGGCACGGCUGGAGCUUGUAUGUUUGCCAGUGAUUUGUAAGGUUCACCCACCAAGAGCUAAUUUGGGAAAGUCACGAGGCAGAUGCAGAGCCAGUAUUUGCAAUGAAACUGGCAUGGCAGGAGUGCAAGUCUGCAUCCACGUGUGUAGUGCCACGCUGCAGAUUUCGAUGAUUUCAGCAGAGUGCAUUUGGACAGAUACAAGUCAUUCUGGUACAAGAAAAAGCAUUGUGCUUGCCUGUACCUGUGUUUUUCUUUCUCUGCUGCUCACAUGCAAUCCUCUUUCCAAUCUACUGUCACCCUGAAAUAGUGAAUAACUGUGUGAAGUAUCAUAAACUGCAAUUAUUUCCUGUUUUGCUGAAGUAGCAGUAAUGAACUCUUAGUACACACUUCUGCAAUGGUAUUUAAUGAAUACUUGUGACUAAUGUUUUUUACAGCCUCGAUCCUUUCAACUCCUUUAUUCACUAGGCCAUCUGUUGCUGUAGUAGUUAAACCCAAACCUGCCCAUUUGAGCUCUGUCCCACUAUGGCCCUAUAAAAGUAGGGUGAAAUUUACCUGAACUCACUGGCUGACUUGAAAUAUAGAAAACACAUACGUUUGAAAUUGUCAGUGUGUCCUCCGUUGUGUAAAUCCUGAUGAGAUACUGCUAAUGGCUGUGUUUUCAUGGGUAGAAACCAGCAUGGCACAUGGAGAUGAGGUCUGAGGAGGCAGGACUGGCCUUAAGUGACUUGUGACUCAUUUGGUUGUGAUGUACUGGUGAUAAACCAGUCUCGCAGAGGACAUAGGAUGGAUUUAUAUUCAUUAAAAGAAAA